UACGUAGGGUGCGAGCGUUGUCCGGAAUUAUUGGGCGUAAAGGGCUCGUAGGCGGUCUGUCGCGUCGGGAGUGAAAACCUCGGGCUUAACUCGGGGCUUGCUUUCGAUACGGGCAGACUAGAGGUAUGCAGGGGAGAACGGAAUUCCUGGUGUAGCGGUGAAAUGCGCAGAUAUCAAGAGGAACACCGGCGGCGAAGGCGGGUUGCUGGGCCGACACUGACGCUGAGGCGCGAAAGCGUGGGGAGCAAACAGG
rnacentral:rRNA from 1 species